rnacentral:lncRNA from 1 species
GAAAUUGGAUUUCCAAUAUUUCUUUUAUGUUGCCGUAGUAGACAUCGUCACCAGAAGAAGAUGAAACACCAGCAUCAUAUGUUGUCUUAGAAUGACCUUUCCUUGUGAAUGCAUAUCCUCGCGUACAAAAUUUAGGAUAUGAUUUGACCACAUAGUUUGGUCCCUGCACAAAUUCGCGUAUCCAAUCAUCGAACACAAGACCUCUGGCCAAACCAUCAUUCACCUAUUAAAAAAAACAUAUAUGAUUGCAAAAUUAAUUAGUUUAUAUAUAUUAAAUUUAAACUAAUCAUUUGCAUAGGGUAAUAGGAUAUAUGACUCACAUAACUACGAAGCCACGCAGCAAAUCCGUUAUCUCUAAGUUGUCGAAGCUCAUCUUCUGUUGCAUGCCUGUGAGUCAUACGCAACUCCGCC